rnacentral:rRNA from 1 species
UGCCAGCCGCCGCGGUAAUACGGAGGGUGCAAGCGUUAAUCGGAAUUACUGGGCGUAAAGCGCGCGUAGGUGGUCAAGUCAGUCAGAUGUGAAAGCCCUGGGCUCAACCUGGGAACUGCAUCUGAUACUGCUUGACUAGAGUAUGGUAGAGGGGUGUGGAAUUUCCUGUGUAGCGGUGAAAUGCGUAGAUAUAGGAAGGAACACCAGUAGCGAAGGCGACUUACUGGACCAUUACUGACGCUGAGGAGCGAAAGCGUGGGGAGCAAACAGGAUUAGAUA